GGGCCCAUAGCUCAGUUGGUUAGAGCACUCGACUCAUAAUCGAAUGGUCCGGGGUUCAAGUCCCUGUGGGCCCA
rnacentral:tRNA from 1 species